GUCCACGCUGUAAACGAUGUCUACUGGCCGUUGGCCUCCUUGAGGGGUUAGUGGCGUAGCUAACGCGAUAAGUAGACCGCCUGGGGAGUACGGCCGCAAGGUUAAAACUCAAAUGAAUUGACGGGGGCCCGCACAAGCGGUGGAGCAUGUGGUUUAAUUCGACGCAACGCGAAGAACCUUACCUACUCUUGACAUCCUGCGAAACCUGUAGAGAUAUGGGUGUGCCUUCGGGAGCGCAGAGACAGGUGCUGCAUGGCUGUCGU
rnacentral:rRNA from 1 species